rnacentral:rRNA from 1 species
UCAAGAAACUUCCACAAUGGGCGAAAGCCUGAUGGAGCGACGUCGCGUGAUGGACGAAGUGCUUCGGCACGUAAACAUCUUUUAUGUGGGAUGAAAUUAUUGACAGUGCCACAUGAAUAAGGGGCUCCUAACUCUGUGCCAGCAGGAGCGGUAAUACAGAGGCCCCAAGCGUUAUCCGGAAUCACUGGGCGUAAAGGGUGUCGAGGCGGUUGUAUUAGUCGUUCGUAAAAUCUACGAGCUUAACUUGUAGGCGGCGAACGAAACGGUACGACUUGAGGUUUGGAGAGGUGCGUGGAACUCACGGUGUAGGGGUGAAAUCCGUUGAUAUCGUGGGGAACACCAAAGGCGAAGGCAGCGCACUGGCCAAAAUCUGACGCUCACACACGAAAGCUAGGGUAGCGAAGAGGAUUAGAUACCCCUGUAGUCCCUGAGCGGGCUGGCAAGGCG